GAAAGCUAAGUUGGAUACAGCAUGCUGCUGGUAACGCCAAGGUUGCAGGUUCAGUUCCUGUAAGGAACA